rnacentral:lncRNA from 1 species
AUGCUACAUCACAAAUGGCUGCAAAGAUCGAUGACUAAACCACACAGUCUCAACAGGUCAGCAGCAGGGUGUCGGAGCCAGAGUCACUCUGGGAUCCAGUCCAACAGAGGCUGCACGGACCCGAACAGCAUCUGUGCACGGCUGGAGCAGUUGAAGAGACUCCCUGUCACUUUUUCAGCGCCUCCACUCAGAAGGACCACCUACCCUCCCGCUUCUGUCUCACUGGUGAGGNNNNNNNNNNNNNNNNNNNNNNNNNNNNNNNNNNNNNNNNNNNNNNNNNNNNNNNNNNNNNNNNNNNNNNNNNNNNNNNNNNNNNNNNNNNNNNNNNNNAGAAGGACCACCUACCCUCCCGCUCCUGUCUCACUGGGCAUAUGUAUGUGCUAAGUUGACGCCAACCUCAGCACAUCAUCUGAAUGGAAAGCACGAAAGAAUCCAAGUAAGAACUGCCCAGCUGAAUCAGGCCAACUCUUAGGAUUGUAAGAGAUAGUAAUGCUAAAUGACUGGGACUUCCCUGGUGGUCUAGUAGUUAAGAACCUGCCAUGUAAUGCAGGAGACACGGCUUCCAUCCCUGGCCUGGGAGGAUUCCAUGGGCCUUGGAGCAACCAAGCUUGUGCACCACAACUAUUGUUGAGUCAGUGCUCUCGAUCCCAAGAACUGCAACUACUAAGCUCUCGUGCCGCAACUACUGAAGCCCUCUCCCCUUAGAACCUGUGCUCAACAACAAGAGAAGCCACUGUGAUGAGAAGCCCGUGCACUGCAACUAGAGAGCAGCUCCCACUUGCCACAACUAGAGAACAGCCUGCACAUGAACAGAGAUAUGUAUAUAUGAGUCCACCUUGCAAUGCAAGGGACGCGAGUUCAAUGCCUGGUUAGGGAACUAAGAUCCCACAUGCUGUGGAGUGACUAAGGCUGCGUGCCACAACUACUGAAGCCCACGUGCUCUGGAGCUCACAUGCCACAGCUAGACAGUCCGUGUGCUGCAAAGAAAGACCCUGCAUGAUGUAGCAAUGAAGAGGCUGCGUGCCACAACCAAGACCUGACCCAGUCAAAUAAAUACAUAAAUAUAUUAAAAAAUGGUUAAACAAUUAUUGUAAUUAUACACCACUGGGUUUGGUGGUGUUUAUUAUACAACAAUGGAUAACUGAUACAAGAUCUCUUCCACUGGGGUAAGUGGGGCUCUGGAAAGGGGAUGAGGGGGACUCCUGUCUGGUUUCCUUCAUCCUGCUGAAGGAGGUCACUGUCUUCCUUUCUUGCCUCCAUCCCAAUAUGACCUUUGCAUAUGAUCACUUUUCACUUUCUACUGCUCUUAUCUGAAUUCCAGGUACUAUCACCUCCCUCUCUAGCCUCUCUGAGGCCAUUCUUGCACUUAAUCCCCUAAACUAUCGUCCACACAGCAAUGACUUGCCCCCCCAACUCUUAAAAAACAUUUUAUUUUGGAAUACUUUUUGAUUUGCAGACAACUUGUCCUAUAGACUGUGCUUGGGUCCCCCUGAAAUUCAAAGGUUGAAGCCCUAAACCCCAGUUUGAUGGUAUUAGGAGAUGGGGGUCUUUGGGAAAUAAUUAGGUCAGGCAGGUGGAGCUUUUAUGAAUGGGAUUAGUGCCCUUAUAGGUAAAGAACCUGCUUGACAAUACAGGAGACAUAAGAGAUGUAAGUUUGAUCCCUGGUUCAGGAAAAUUUUCUGGAGGAGGGCAUGGCAACCACCUCUAGUAUUCUACCCUGGAGAAUCCCAUGGACAGAGGGGCCUGGCGGACUAGAGUUCAUAGGGUAGCAAAGAGUCGCACACAAGUGAAGCUACUUAGUACUACACAGCAUAUAGUGCCCUUAUAAGGGAACUUCCGAGCUCUCUGCCUCUCUCUCUUCCUCCCUCCUUCCUAUCUCUGUUUCUAUCUCUAUGUCUCUCUCUCUGCCAUAUGAGGGUACAGCAAGGAGAUGCUAUCCACAAUAAAGGAAGUGGGCCCUCACCAAAUACCAGAUCUGCCAGAACCUAGAUCUUGGAUUUCCCAGACUCCAGGACUGUGAGAAAUAAGUGUUGCAAACCCACCCAGUCUGUAGUAUUUUUGCUAUAGCAGCUUGACCAGACUAUAAUUUGCAAAGGUGGUUGGUACAAAAAAUUCUUGUCUACCUUCUGCCCAACUGCCCCGAAUGUUAACAUACUGCCUAACCAGGCAUAUUUGUCACAGCUAAGAGAUUAACUAAUGUUGAACAAAUUUGGAAAACUUAGCAGUGGCCACAAGACUGGAAAAGGUCAGUU